CCUACGGGAGGCAGCAGUAGGGAAUUUUCGGCAAUGGGGGGAACCCUGACCGAGCAACGCCGCGUGAACGAAGAAGUUAUUCGUAAUGUAAAGUUCUUUUAACAGGGAAGAAAGAGAAAUUUGACGGUACCUGCAGAAUAAGCUCCGGCUAACUACGUGCCAGCAGCCGCGGUAAGAGGGGGGGUGCGAGAGUAAAUCGGAUUUACUGGGCGUAAAGCUCUCGUUGGCGGUAUGUAAAGUCAAGGGUGAAGUCCCCGCGCUCAACGUGGGAAGUGCCUUUGAAACUGGCAAACUGGAGUGUGUGAGCGGAUAGUGGAAUUUGAGGUGUAGGAGUGAAAUCCGUAGAUAUCUGACGGAACAUCAGUUGCGAAGGCGACUAUCUGGCACAUAACUGACGCUGAGGAGCGAAAGCGUGGGUAGCAAACAGGAUUAGAUACCCCUGUAGUC
rnacentral:rRNA from 1 species